AUACUUACCUGGCAGGGGAGAUACCAUGAUCACGAAGGUGGUUUUCCCAGGGCGAGGCUUAUCCAUUGCACUCCGGAUGUGCUGACCCCUGCGAUUUCCCCAAAUGUGGGAAACUCGACUGCAUAAUUUGCGGUGGUGGGGGACUGCGUUCGCGCUCUCCCCUG
rnacentral:snRNA from 1 species